CCUUCCAAUAUUCGUUGCUUGCCAGAGAAGAAAUUAAAUGCAUUUGUAAGAAGCUAAGUAAUCUGUAAUUGUACAUCUAUCUGUAUGACUAUCCAACUGGGCACUAUAUAUGAGAAUAUUCUCCUGUGUUAAAUGGAAAAUCUACAUCUCAUUAGGCCCUUUGAGAAAAUUCUUGUACAACUAUAUUAAUCAAGAGAAAUAAGAAAAAUCUAAUUAAGUGGACCGGGUUAGAAUGUGGCUUGCAUUGAAAGAGGAGUUUAUAUCUAUUGACACCGUUCUUUGGCACAUGUCAAUCUGAUGUGGUGAAGUGGGCAGCCGAUGGAAGAUUGGCCGAUGCUGGGCAGAAGGAGGAAGGUAGAAGAUGAUUUGGUGACUUGGCAUCGUAGCCAAUAGAGCAGGAUUUGCGCUGAUUGAUUACGUCAGCAAGUUAUCGUGUCAAGUCUGAGUUUAGUUUGAGUCAAUUAUUUAGGAAAGUUUUCUUUUCUUUUUGAUCAAGUUAUGUAAGUCGUAAUCGACAAGGAGUUCUAGCUUAGGCUAUAAAUAGCAGACCUACGGGUUUUGUAAAACAACCAACGUUCAAUCAAACAAACCUUUUACAUCAUUUGCAUCUGCUUUUCUUUGUCGACGACUUCGUCAAACCCUAAUUGCAGUAGCUUUUCUCUUUUAUUAGUUCUUCUGUCUAGCAGGGCUGCAUCGGCUUCGAUCUCCAGCUCGUCGGUCAAAUUGACUAGCACGCUAAGUACCUUCACGCAGCUAUUUGGAGCCUAUAUGUCGGAGUAAAGCAGAUCUCCCAGGUCCUCGUGUGGGGCCACAUGGAAGUCCGAUCAUCGGAUUUUUUUGCGUCAACAAUAUCAAGAACAACAACAAAACUACAACUCAAAAAAAAUCAAAGAAAUUUAUCAAUUGGAUCCUAUAGGACACGGAUUAUUCCGCAUCACAAAAUAGAUAUAUAUCUAUAUAGAUUCCAAAGAGAAGUUAUUUAAAGCUAGCAAUUGGAUUUGUAUACAAACGACAUAACCACUAUCAAGUAUAAUAGGCAGUGUCCUGGCGUUGCGUUGAAACAAUGCUGGCAUGCACCACAAAGCCGUGGGCAGUGGAAGCGAGGGUGGUGGCCAGUGUCAGUGGUGAAGCCAGGUUAGAGCAAGUAUAAUAAGUCAUACUCAGCAGGCUGUAAGAUCAUCUAUGUCAUCAAAAUUCUAUGUUGAGGUGAAAGACUUAACAGCCUGGCUGCAGCACACGCUACCAGAAAAAGAUACCUCUCUCUCCCUCCCUCCCUCCCAAUCACGUUCGUCCUUUUGCUCCUGCUAUUUAUUCUUUGCAGCCAACCCAUUAGCCUGCCAGGAGCCAGGUUCGCGCAAUGUGGAGCAGGCCAAGAAAGUCAAGCUUUUGCUUGGUCUCGAAUAUAGCAUCAAAGGGAAAGACAAAAGGCAUUAUCUUCAGUUUCUUCUCAGAAAGAUGCACCGUCCUUCAAAUAUUUGUUCAUUGUCAGAGAAGAAACACAUUUGUUACAAAGAUAUAUAUAUGGUCCUUCGAAUACUUGUUGAUUGCCGGAGAAGAAACGCGUAUGUAAAAAGUAAUAAGAUGUUUGUUUUGAGGAACCACGUUCUGAU